CUCUCCUCCCAUCGGUGAGUGGGCUGCAGGUCCAACGCGCUCUCUGUCAUCCGGCUGGCUGAGCGCACCGGAGGCGACUGAGGGACUGACUGCGGAAAGAUGCGUCGAUGCGCCCCGCAGAACCGCGGCGGAUGAGGCGCUGCGCAGCGGCCGCAGGAGACGGAGGAACGGGUCCUUGGUGUGUGGUUACCCCGCUCUCUGACGGACCGGACCGGACGCUGAUUUUCCUGAUUCUGUGGCGUCAGUGGCGCAGGCCGACUGGAAAUGAUGCGAUCCCAGUUCAGGAUGCUCCACCAGCUUCCUCUGUAAACAAUGAAGAUGUGGAAGGACGUUGAAUAAAUGAUAAUGAACUAAAAUCCCUAACAUCUGAUCAGCCUGGUUGCUCUGACAGCCCGAUCGGCCCUGGAGACGCGAGUCCAGCUGACAGAGAGGUCAGAAGACAUCGUCACGGCGCAUCGGCGUGGAAGAAAACAAAAUCCUCAUUACCUCCGCUCUCAUCAGCAGAGACAGCAGGACACGUAACCUGCUUGUUCCUCUGCUUUUACUCAGAGACUGAAGCUUUUCCACCAUCAGAGGAAACUGCUAAGAUGCAAGAUUAAAAAGAUCAGCUUA